rnacentral:rRNA from 1 species
AUUGAACGCUGGCGGCAGGCCUAACACAUGCAAGUCGAGCGGCAGCGGGAAAGUGGCUUGCUACUUUUGCCGGCGAGCGGCGGACGGGUGAGUAAUGCCUGGGGAUCUGCCCAGUCGAGGGGGAUAACUACUGGAAACGGUAGCUAAUACCGCAUACGCCCUACGGGGGAAAGCAGGGGACCUUCGGGCCUUGCGCGAUUGGAUGAACCCAGGUGGGAUUAGCUAGUUGGUGAGGUAAUGGCUCACCAAGGCGACGAUCCCUAGCUGGUCUGAGAGGAUGAUCAGCCACACUGGAACUGAGACACGGUCCAGACUCCUACGGGAGGCAGCAGUGGGGAAUAUUGCACAAUGGGGGAAACCCUGAUGCAGCCAUGCCGCGUGUGUGAAGAAGGCCCUCGGGUUGUAAAGCACUUUCAGCGAGGAGGAAAGGUUGGUAGCUAAUAACUGCCAGCUGUGACGUUACUCGCAGAAGAAGCACCGGCUAACUCCGUGCCAGCAGCCGCAGUAAGAC